rnacentral:rRNA from 1 species
CAGUCGCCGCGGUAAUACGGAGGGGGCUAGCGUUGUUCGGAAUUACUGGGCGUAAAGCGCACGUAGGCGGCUUGGUAAGUUAGAGGUGAAAGCCCGGAGCUCAACUCCGGAAUUGCCUUUAAGACUGUCGAGCUAGUAGGUGAGAGAGGUAAGUGGAAUUCCGAGUGUAGAGGUGAAAUUCGUAGAUAUUCGGAAGAACACCAGUGGCGAAGGCGGCUUACUGGCUCAUUCUAGACGCUGAGGUGCGGAAGCGUGGGGAGCAAACAGGAUUAGAUACCCGUGUAGUCCCUGUCUCUUAUAC